GACGAACCGAGCGAACGUUGUUCGGAAUCACUGGGCUUAAAGGGCGCGUAGGCGGGUGCUCAAGUCCGGGUGAAAUCCGUCCAGCUCAACUGGAGAACUGCCUCGGAUACUGGGUGCCUCGAGGGUGGUAGGGGUAUGCGGAACUAUCGGUGGAGCGGUGAAAUGCGUUGAUAUCGAUAGGAACUCCGGUGGCGAAGGCGGCAUACUGGACCACAUCUGACGCUGAGGCGACGAAAGCCAGGGAGGCAAACGGG
rnacentral:rRNA from 1 species